CCCGGGAUCGGCAGUGUUUUUUUCUCCCCGGUAUUUGUUGAAGCGGGUCCGGAGCGGCGGAUCGUCCGCGGGAUCGAGAUCGGGAUCAGGGGUCAGGGUCCUCGCCCCCUCGGGCGGGGAGCCGGGGAGGGGGGACGGAUCAUUCUCUGCCGAACGAGUCCGACAAGAUCCCUUCGUUAAAGUUAGACCUGCGGUGAGAGAUUUAUUGGAAGAAAAGCCCACAACUGGAAGCAAACAAUGACUGAAGACGAGGGAACAGCAGCAAGUGAACCAGCCCGAGGACUGACAGCACCAACUGGAGAGAACCCUUCUGACUCAGAGUUUCCAUCGAUUCAGUCAGGAGAAAGUCUGUUAGACCUGCAGUGAGAGAUUUAUUCGAAGAAAAGCCCACAACUGGAAGCAAACCACAACUAUAGAUGAGGGAACAACAACAAGUGAACCAGCCCGAGGACUGAGAGCACCAACUGGAGAGAAUCCUUCUGACUCAGAGUUUCCUUUGAUUCAUUCAGGAGAAAGUUUGACUGUACCUGGAAUAUGGAGUAAAAUCCCGCUCCCCACACUAACACGGGUUAUACAGACCAAAGAACAAACUGCCGGAGGAACUCAGUGGGUCGGACAGCAUCUGUGGAGGGAAAUGGACCGUCAACAUUUCGGGCCGAGACCCUCCCUCUGGACUGAGAGUGGACGGGAAAUAGUCAGAGAAAAGAGAUCUGCAGCAUUUGCGGGGUUUUUCUUCCGAAGCCCUACCCCCGCUCUGAUGACCAUCACUUUGCGAAUGCUCACAGUCCCCGGCUGGGCUUUGGUUUUCGUUCCGUUCCGUGUUGAAGCGGAUCAUCAGUGGGGAGUCGCGGGGCGCAUCACUGACUACGGGGAAAAUUGAUCAAUUUUCUAUCGUGUUUUGUCCAACCGGUUUGGAUUUGAUUUCAGCGGAACGGCCGCUCCCUGUUCUGAGGAAUGUACACGGACAGGCAGCUGCUUGGACGCAGACCCUGAGCACCGAGUCUCACAGAACAACAAGCCGCACCUUCCAAAUCGGUCAAUCAUCUGCCCGCUUCCCCUUUCCAUUCCAGUCCUGAUGAAGGGACUCGGUCCGUAACGUCGACUGUUUACACCCAUCCAUAGAGCAGCCUGACCUGCUGAGUUCCUCCAGCAUUGUGUGUGUUACCAUGGAUACGAGAGAUCCGUGUGGGGCAGCAGGUGGGGCUAUUUAUGAAAAAAACGAUACACCGUAUCCACAGUCUCAGAAUAUUCUUGGGGAGUUAAGGUGAGAAUAAUUCAGCUUCUGAUAUUUAUUUUGGAUCUUUAUUUCCAAACAACCAGUUAUCUGUGCAUUGGAUCAGCGAAUAAGAAGAUUGUUGGGUUUUUAAGCCACUUCUGGCUGUGGUGCUUUUUGUGUUCCUACUGUUUCCUGUUUGCACGACUGACAUUUUCCACAGGUUAGGUAAAGAUUAAGAACAAUGGCCACCAGUUUCAAAGCAAGGGUGUGAGAUCUGUACAACAAACAUCUGUUCCGUUCCAGAAUUUCCUAUUUCAGACGAAUGCAUCUCUUGUUCCUGCGUCAAUUGUGGGUGUUUUCAACUCCACUCCUCAAUGGCCAGUUGAAGCAAAGACUGAUUCUGUUGAAGGCCGAGAUUUUUGAUAAAGAACGGGUUCGAAGUGUUACAGGGAUGCACAUGGGGGAAUACAGAAUGAAAUUUUAGAUCAGAUCAGUUCUGAUCUCAUUAUCUGCAGCAACAGUUUCGAGUGGCCUGUCCAGUAAUGUGUUUUGUUGUGUUGACUGGAAAAACUCUGACGAUUUAAUUAAUGUAAGCUUACUAGUAUGUGAAGGGAGAUAUGAUUUUAUUUAUAUAGUUGAACUGAACACAAGCAGUUUGCUUGAUUUAAUGAUUUGCAUUUAACUUUGUGCGUUAAAUGUGUGCCCCAGCUGCGUUAGGGUGUCGAACUUUUGACUUAUUCGGUCAGCUGGCCAGUAUGGUACGGGACAGCAGAACGUGCUCCCCGUUCCCUGUCCCUGACUCUAUGUAGUUUCCUCAUCUACCGCGCGCACCUCCCACUGCCUCACUCCAUGUGGCCAAAGUAUUUGAGCUUUUCAAGUCUCCUUAUCAGCAGUCGGGCUGUACUUCUUCAAGUGUUGACUUGUUGGAUCUUCUUGCUGUCAAAUGAACUCAUAGCACUUUCCUCCAGCAUCCAAGUUCAAAGGCGUCGAUUCUUUUGUGUUCCGCCUCACUAAUAGUCCAGCUCUCACAGCCACACAUCACAACUGGAAAUACCAUCCUUGACUAUACGGACUUCGGAGACAAUGUUAUAUCUCCGAUCUUCAGUAUUUUAUCGAAAUUUCCAUUGCUUCCCGUCCCAGAAGUAAGAACUAUUUAAUUUCGUGGCUGCUUUUAUCAUCUAUAGAAAACUUGGAAUCGACAAAAUUUGUUACUGAUUCCACUUCCUUUCCACUUAUUACCAUUCAGUUGAUAGGGCUGGCCAGUAUUUUUGAUAUUGAACAACCAGUGAACUUUUCCACUUCCUUCUUUCACUUUCAUUAGAAACAUCCUCAGAUCCUCCUCACUUUCAGCCAUUAGAGUAGUGUCACCAGCAUAUCUGAGGUUGUUGAUCCGGCAAUUUUUAUUCCAACACUUACAGUCCUCGAGACCAGCAUUCCUCAUGAUGUGUUCAGCUCAUAGAUUAAAUAAGUAGGGUGACAUCAUGUAGCCUUGUCAUACUCCUUUCCCAAUGUUGAACCAGUUUGUUGUUCCGUGUUCAGUUCUAACUGUUGCUUCUUGAUCUUCGUACAGGUUUCUCAUAAGGCAGAUCAGAUGUCCAGGUAUCCCUAUUUCUUUAAGGAUUUGCCACAGUGUAUUAUGGUCCACACUGUCGAAGGCUUUAGAGUAGUCAAUAAAACACAGAUAAAUACUUUUCUGGAAUUCUCUCGAUUUCGCUAUUAUCCAGUGUAAGUUAGCAAUUUUGUCUCUGGUGCCUCUGCCUCUUCUAAAACCAGCUUGUACAUCUGGCAGUUCUCAUUACAUAGAUUGCUGGAGUCUUGCUUGCAUGAUUUUUAGCAUUACCUUGCUAGCAUGUGAGAUUAGUGAAACUGUUCGGUAGUUUGAAAAUUCCUUUACAUUUCCCUUCUUGGGAAUUGGGAUAUAAACUGUUUUUUUUCCCCAGACUACAGGCCAUUGUUAGGUUUACCAGAUCUGCUGUCAAAUUGCAUGCAACACUUUUACAGCAUCACCUUUUAAAGUUUUAAACGAUUCAACUGGACUGCUGUCACAUCCUGCAGCCUCACUAUCGCCCAUCCAACUUCACUUUCCAGAGUGUCCGGCUCUAGAUCAACGAGGGAGUCACUGCAGGUGUCUUUGCUGUUGGGAUAUUUCCUGCACAAUUCUUCUGUGCAUUCCUGCCACCUCUUUUUGAUGUCUUCUGCUUCUGUAUGGUGCUUCCCUUUUUUAUCUUUUCCUGUACUCAUUUUUGCAUGAAAUGUUCCUUUGAUUUCUCUUAUCUUCUUGAAUAGAUUUCUUGUUUUUAUCCAAUUCUUUUGGCUUCUUCAGCUUCUUUGCUUCGCUCCUUUAAGUCAAGUUUCCGUAUCUUUCCUUGCUAUCUUCUUGGACUUUGUGUUCAGUUGGAGGUAUUUGUUCCGAUCUCCAUUGGCCUUCUCUUCUUCACUUCUCUUCACUGCUCAGCCUACGCAAAAAGCCAGUUUGCUUUCCUGGUUUUCUUUGUGUUUGCAAUAUUUUUUGGCACCUCUUGUAUAAUGCUCCUGACUUCUAUCCAUGGUUCUUUUGGCUUUUUCUCUACCAGCUUUAAUCCACGAAUCUGUUCCUCACCUCCACGGCAUAUUCUUCAGGGAUGCUAUCAACAUCAAACUUCUGAUUAUCGCCAGCAGGAGGUGCUUUCUUCCACCCAGACAGCACACAAGCAGACGACUAUCAACCAACGUCAGUCAGAGUCAGAAUGGACACAGAUCUGAACUCUGCAAUCUCCGCCUUCCUGUCAAAUUGUGAGGAUCACCAACUGUUCCGGUUGACGAGAUUCUACAUGGAGCGACUGGAGCAGGCGAUUGAGGAGGGAGUGGAGGGAGUCGGCUUCAUGUUAAUGGGCGAGGAUCACUUCACCGGGCCAGAGUAUCACGUAAGUGGUAGGAACAUAGAUUGACUGUAGAUUCUACUGAAUCAAUCACAGAUCAACAGAACCGGUGUAACGGCACCUCUGGGCUAUGAAAAUCCUGCAAUGCUUGUGGUCAACAUCAAGAAAAGUGUUUUUGUUUGCAGAAACCCUGAACGUUUAUUCACCAGUAUAAGCCUCUGUCCAUUUUUCAGAAUACAUUACAUUUAGACAGGUUAGGAUACAGACAAUGAUUGAUGGGUGAAUUUAGUGGCGUGGCGCUUGACAGAUAUUGCAAGUAGACAUAGGACAACUUCACAGCACUCAGUCUGACAUCACAUCAUGUUCCCAAUGCUUGACCUUAAUGGGCAUUCACCAGUCUCUCUUGAUAGUGACUUAAUUCUCAGCUCAUUUCUCGAGUCUAGAUUCAACCCCAUCAUCAAUUGAACAGGCAGUACUGAAUGUCGUCUCUCUUUUCAACUACUGACCCUCUUGCAUUUGAUCAAAUAUCCGAACAUGCCUCAUGGUUCAGUUACCUUCUAUUCCUUGUGAGAGUUCCAUUUGGAGUCUGUAAUUACCACAGCAUAUACCGUUAACACUGGGAACUGCAAAAUCAUACAUUUGAAAAUAGGCCAAGCAUCUGCAGCUAACCCAGGAUUACCAAGAAAUGCCUUUCUCAUGGUCCUCCUGUUACUGGGACACGUUCAUCUAUUGCUCAUCAGAUUGAAUUUUAGUGAAGAGCCACACAUCAUCGCUCACCCUAACGUUCCACACGAAACAGCUGACAAUUUCAAUCUGAACUUCCUUCUCUGCAUUACUACCAUUUGACUUUGGUCUCUCUAACAUGCACAAAAGUCCUGCAAUUGCUGUCUGCUCCUCACUGCCAGUUCCCAGCUAUAGGCUGACAGUGGACCCCUCAUGGAGCCUGGCAGUUAAUUGUGAACCUGCUGCUGUUCACCAGAGAUUACCCCAGUGACCCCGUCAUAGUUUGACUUAGUCAUAGUCAUCGAACUCUACAGUACAGCAACAGGCUCUUCGGCCCAUCAAGUUCACACUGACCUAUUACAUACUUAGUUGCAUUGAUCUGCACACCAUCUAGAAACAUCCAUACCACUCUCA